CCUACGGGAGGCAGCAGUGGGGAAUCUUGCGCAAUGGGCGAAAGCCUGACGCAGCGACGCCGCGUGGGGGAAGAAGGCCUUAGGGUUGUAAACCUCUUUCAGGUGGGACGAAGCCACUCGGGUUAAUAGCCCAGAGGGUGACGGUACCGCCAGAAGAAGCCCCGGCUAACUACGUGCCAGCAGCCGCGGUAAUACGUAGGGGGCAAGCGUUGUCCGGAUUUAUUGGGCGUAAAGAGCGUGUAGGCGGCUAGGUAGGUGGGUUGUGAAAACUGGAGGCUCAACCUUCAGACGUCGACCCAAACCCCCUGGCUAGAGUCCGGAAGAGGAGAGUGGAAUUCCUGGUGUAGCGGUGAAAUGCGCAGAUAUCAGGAAGAACACCCGUGGCGAAGGCGGCUCUCUGGGACGGUACUGACGCUGAGACGCGAAAGCGUGGGGAGCGAACAGGAUUAGAUACCCUGGUAGUCCACGCCGUAAACGAUGGGUGCUAGGUGUGGGGGGUGUCGACUCCCCCGUGCCGAAGCUAACGCAUUAAGCACCCGCCUGGGGAGUACGGCCGCAAGGCUAAAACGCAAUGAAUUGACGCUGAGACGUUGCGAGACGACGACGAGGGAGGAGG
rnacentral:rRNA from 1 species